rnacentral:rRNA from 1 species
CAGCGCCGCGGGAAUACGUAGGGUGCAAGCGUUAAUCGGAAUUACUGGGCGUAAAGCGUGCGCAGGCGGUUAUAUAAGACAGAUGUGAAAUCCCCGGGCUCAACCUGGGAACUGCAUUUGUGACUGUAUAGCUAGAGUACGGCAGAGGGGGAUGGAAUUCCGCGUGUAGCAGUGAAAUGCGUAGAUAUGCGGAGGAACACCGAUGGCGAAGGCAAUCCCCUGGGCCUGUACUGACGCUCAUGCACGAAAGCGUGGGGAGCAAACAGGAUUAGAUACCCCCGUAGUCCCUGUCUCUUAUACC